GACGAACGCCUGGGCGGCGCGCCUAACACAUGCAAGUCGAACGAGCGGAGAGGAGAAGGCUUGCUUUCUCAAGCGAGUGGCGAACGGGUGAGUAACGCGUGAGGAACCUGCCUCAAAGAGGGGGACAACAGUUGGAAACGACUGCUAAUACCGCAUAAGCCCAUAGCUCCGCAUGGAGCAGAGGGAAAAGGAGUGAUCCGCUCCAGGAUGGCCUCGCGUCCAAUUAGGUAGAUGGUGAGGUAACGGCCCACCAUGCCGACGAUUGGUAGCCGGACUGAGAGGUUGAACGGCCACAUUGGGACUGAGACACGGCCCAG
rnacentral:rRNA from 1 species